CCUACGGGUGGCAGCAGUGGGGAAUAUUGCACAAUGGGCGCAAGCCUGAUGCAGCCAUGCCGCGUGUGUGAAGAAGGCCUUCGGGUUGUAAAGCACUUUCAGCGGGGAGGAAGGCGGUGAGGUUAAUAACCUCAUCGAUUGACGUUACCCGCAGAAGAAGCACCGGCUAACUCCGUGCCAGCAGCCGCGGUAAUACGGAGGGUGCAAGCGUUAAUCGGAAUUACUGGGCGUAAAGCGCACGCAGGCGGUCUGUCAAGUCGGAUGUGAAAUCCCCGGGCUCAACCUGGGAACUGCAUUCGAAACUGGCAGGCUAGAGUCUUGUAGAGGGGGGUAGAAUUCCAGGUGUAGCAGUGAAAUGCGUAGAGAUCUGGAGGAAUACCGGUGGCGAAGGCGGCCCCCUGGACAAAGACUGACGCUCAGGUGCGAAAGCGUGGGGAGCAAACAGGAUUAGAUACCCUUGUAGUC
rnacentral:rRNA from 1 species